rnacentral:rRNA from 1 species
AUUGAACGCUGGCGGCAUGCCUUACACAUGCAAGUCGAACGGCAGCACGGGGGCAACCCUGGUGGCGAGUGGCGAACGGGUGAGUAACAUAUCGGAACAUACCCUAGAGUGGGGAUAACGUAGCGAAAGUUACGCUAAUACCGCAUACGAUCUAAGGAUGAAAGUGGGGGAUCUUCGUACCUCAUGCUCAUGGAGUGGCCGAUAUCUGAUUAGCUAGUUGGUGAGGUAAAGGCUCACCAAGGCGACGAUCAGUAGCUGGUUUGAGUAGAACGACCAGCCACACUGGAACUGAGACACGGUCCAGACUCCUACGGAGGCAGCAGUGGGGAAUUUUGGACAAUGGGGCGAACCUGAUCCAGCAAUG